rnacentral:rRNA from 3 species
AAAACCGGUCCGACUAUCUGCAGUCGAGCGGACUGAUGGGAGCUUGCUCCCUGAUGUUAGCGGCGGACGGGUGAGUAACACGUGGGCAACCUGCCUGUAAGACUGGGAUAACUCCGGGAAACCGGGGCUAAUACCGGAUAACCCGUUCCACCUCAUGGUGGAGCGGUAAAAGAUGGCCUCUGGCUAUCACUUACAGAUGGGCCCGCGGCGCAUUAGCUAGUUGGUAAGGUAACGGCUUACCAAGGCGACGAUGCGUAGCCGACCUGAGAGGGUGAUCGGCCACACUGGGACUGAGACACGGCCCAGACUCCGACGGGAGGCAGCAGUAGGGAAUCUUCCGAAAUAGACGAAAGUCUGACGGAGCAACGCCGCGUGAGUGAUGAAGGUUUUCGGAUCGUAAAGCUCUGUUGUUAGGGAAGAACAAGUGCCGUUUGAAUAAGGCGGCACCUUGACGGUACCUAACCAGAAAGCCACGGCUAACUACGUGCCAGCAGCCGCGGUAAUACGUAGGUGGCAAGCUGUUGUCCGGAAUUAUUGGGCGUAAAGCGCGCGCAGGCGGUCUCUUAAGUCUGAUGUGAAAGCCCACGGCUCAAGCCGUGGAGGGUCAUUGGAAACUGGGAGACUUGAGUACAGAAGAGGAGAGUGGAAUUCCACGUGUAGCGGUGAAAUGCGUAGAUAUGUGGAGGAACACCACGUGGCGAAGGCGACUCUCUGGUCUGUAACUGACGCUGAGGCGCGAAAGCGUGGGGAGCAAACAGGAUUAGAUACCCUGGUAGUCCACGCCGUAAACGAUGAGUGCUAGGUGUUAGGGGUUUCGAUGCCCUUAGUGCCGAAGUUAACACAUUAAGCACUCCGCCGGAGGAGUACGACCGCAAGGUUGAAACUCAAAAGAAUUGACGGGAGCCCGCACAAGCAGUGGAGCAUGUGGUUUAAUUCGAAGCAACGCGAAGAACCUUACCAGGUCUUGACAUCCUUUGACCACCCUAGAGAUAGGGCUUUCCCCUUCGGGGGACAAAGUGACAGGUGGUGCAUGGUUGUCGUCAGCUCGUGUCGUGAGAUGUUGGGUUAAGUCCCGCAACGAGCGCAACCCUUGAUCUUAGUUGCCAGCAUUCAGUUGGGCACUCUAAGGUGACUGCCGGUGACAAACCGGAGGAAGGUGGGGAUGACGUCAAAUCAUCAUGCCCCUUAUGACCUGGGCUACACACGUGCUACAAUGGAUGGUACAAAGGGCUGCAAAACCGCGAGGUUGAGCGAAUCCCAUAAAGCCAUUCUCAGGUCGGAUUGUAGGCUGCAACUCGCNUACAGAAGC